rfam:Firmicutes bacterium RBG_13_65_8 RBG_13_scaffold_14273, whole genome shotgun sequence.
UCUGGCGACGAUAGCGGAGGGGCCACACCCGUUCCCAUCCCGAACACGGCCGUUAAGCCCUCCAGCGCCGAUGGUACUCGGCGGGCGACCGCCCGGGAGAGUAGGUCAUCGCCAGGA